rnacentral:rRNA from 1 species
AUCCGGACGGGUGAGUAACACGUAAGCAACCUGCCUAUCAGAGGGGAACAACAGUUAGAAAUGACUGCUAAUACCGCAUAUGCCAUGAGUAUCGCAUGAUACAAAUGGGAAAGGAGCAAUCCGCUGAUAGAUGGGCUUGCGUCUGAUUAGCUAGUUGGUGUGGUAAAGGCAUACCAAGGCGACGAUCAGUAGCCGGACUGAGAGGUUGAACGGCCACAUUGGGACUGAGAUACGGCCCAGAACUCUUACGGGAGGCAGCAGGUGGGGAUAUUGCGCAAUGGGGGGACCCCUGACGCAGCAACGCCGCGUGCAGGAAGAAGGUCUUCGGAUUUGUAAACCUGUUGUCGCAGGGGAAGAAGAAAGUGACGGUACCCUGUGAGAAAGUCACGGCUAACUACGUGCCAGCAGCCGCGGUAAUACGUAGGUGACAAGCGUUGUCCGGAUUUACUGGGUGUAAAGGGCGCGUAGGCGGACUAUCAAGUCAGUCGUGAAAUACCGGGGCUUAACCCCGGGGCUGCGAUUGAAACUGACAGCCUUGAGUAUCGGAGAGGAAAGCGGAAUUCCCAGUGUAGCGGUGAAAUGCGUAGAUAUUGGGAGGAACACCAGUGGCGAAGGCGGCUUUCUGGACGACAACUGACGCUGAGGCGCGAAAGUGUGGGGAGCAAACAGGAUUAGAUACCCUGGUAGUCCACACCGUAAACGAUGGAUACUAGGUGUAGGAUGUAUUAAGCAUUCUGUGCCGCCGCUAACGCAUUAAGUAUCCCACCUGGGGAGUACGACCGCAAGGUUGAAACUCAAAGGAAUUGACGGGGGCCCGCACAAGCAGUGGAGUAUGUGGUUUAAUUCGAAGCAACGCGAAGAACCUUACCAGUGCUUGACUAUAAACAGGAAUAACUAAGAGAUUAGAUUAGCUCUUCGGAGCUUGUUUACAGGUGGUGCAUGGUUGUCGUCGUCAGCUCGUGCCGUGACGGUGUCGGCUUAAGUGCCAUAACGAGCGCAACCCUUAUCGAUAGUUACUAACAGGUCGAGCUGAGGACUCUAUCGAGACUGCCGGACGUAAGCCGCGAGGAAGGUAGGGAUGACGUCAAUAUCAGCACGGCCCUUACGUCCGGGGCGACACACGUGUUACAAUGGCAGGGACAGAGAGGAGCCAGGCAGCGAUGCCGCGCCAAUCCCGAAACCCUGUCUCAGUUCGGAUUGGAGUCUGCAUACCCGACUCCAUGAAGCUGGAUUCGCUAGUAAUCGCGCAUCAGCCAUGGCGCGGUGAAUACGUUCCCGGGCCUUGUACACACCGCCCGUCAAGCCAUGGGAGCCGGGAGUACCUGAAGUAUGUGACCGCAAGGAGCGUCCUAAGGUAACAUCGGUAACUGGGGCUAAGUCGUAACAAGGUAG